GGUUUCAUAGUGUAGUGCUUAUCAUGUCUGUUUUACGUGCAGAAGGUCCUGGGUUCAAUCCCCAGUAAAACCA